GGCGGACGGGUGAGUAAUACUUAGGAAUCUGCCCAUUAGCGGGGGACAACUCGGGGAAACUCGAGCUAAUACCGCAUACGCCCUACGGGGGAAAGCAGGGGAUCUUCGGACCUUGCACUAAUGGAUGAGCCUAAGUCGGAUUAGCUUGUUGGUGAGGUAAAGGCUCACCAAGGCGACGAUCCGUAGCUGGUCUGAGAGGACGAUCAGCCACACUGGGACUGAGACACGGCCCAG
rnacentral:rRNA from 1 species